CCAUUUGUCUUGAAUAUGACAGCAGUUCUGAUUUCAGAUUUUUGUCAAUAGGAUUUUUAGUUGGAGCAGUCUGACAUGUAACUUUGAAGAGGUAUAACCUGAAUAAAAGCAUUCAGCAUUCUACUCACAGUUAUAUACCCACAUAUAAGUUUCUUUGAGGAUAUAGAUCUUAUUUGAGCAUUUAUCCUGGAUUGCAAGGAGUUUACGAGUAAACCUUUGGACCUCAGUUUUGGAUGGAAAGGCAAUUCUAGGGAAAUACUGUAUUUUGUGGAGUCCUUUGCUGCAUCACAGUGUGUCGCCAGUUAGAAUUUAUCUUGUGUUUCUCCUCUGACUAUAACUGCCUUGAGGGCAUCAAUCACACAUGUCUGCCAGUCAAAGAGUGAAGUGUGAGCUAGAGAGCCAGUU